rnacentral:lncRNA from 1 species
UAAAACAAAUUCUUCAAAAAAAAUUUUUACGUGCAACCAAACAUCGGAAAAAAAGUUUUCGAUGGAAAAAAAAAUUUCGAAGCAAUUUUACAGGAAACCAAACACCCACUAAUACAAAUUGAAAAUUACACACAUAUUACGGAGAAAAGAAUAAGAAAUUAUAUGCACAGAAAUCUAGAAACAUGCCUCCGAGCAGAAGAAUUACAGAGAAACAAAAAAUAGACGUCACGGAAAGAAGUCUCUGAGGGUGUAUGAUAAUAAUCUAUGAAUUAUAGAUACAUAGUAGGAUAUAUAUGUUAUAUAUUAUAUGCACUUGAUCUGAUAAAUUUGAAGUACAUAAUUAUCUAUAAUAUUACGUAUA